rnacentral:lncRNA from 1 species
GGCCUUGAAUGAGAACUGCGGGUAAACAAGACGCACCCUACGGUCAAAAAUUAUGUCACCAUUCACCUUGUUUUGUUUGAUAUUAAUUGUUGCAUAUAAAAAUAAUUAAAAUAAGAAAUGUGACUGUAGCGGGAUUGUUUUAUGUCUGUACCGCACGUUGAGACAAAACUUGAGUAAUAACGUGUGGUUUGUGAUACUGUUGUCAACCAGUAUAUUAAAAUUAUUGUUUAUUGUUAUUAGUUAAUUAAAAAUGUAAAGAAAAUAUAUGCAAUAAACCUUUCUUAUUUUCUAUUUCACCUUUUAGACAAUAUUUAAAAAGUUAAUAAAUGAUUGUGUUUUGCAACUUCACCAGUUUAAUGUUUAAGAAUAAAAUAAUUCAUUACGGAUUAAGGAUGUAUAUUUCUAUGUGUGUUUUAGUUUAUAACUUUUUAUAAUUUAUAUCUUAAAAAUCUCUCUUAAGAAAUUAAAAUACAAUAAAUUAUUGGCUAUAAAACUCAGAAAUAACAUAUUUAUAUUUUAGAUAUAUAAACUAUUUUUUAAAAAUAAUAUAUAUAUAUAUAUAUAUUAAAAAUUAUAUUAGUAUUACUCAUUUUGUUGUUUAUAAAAUAUAAAUAUAUUAUGUAUCCCGCAGUUACACUAUUCAUUACACAAGUCGCCAUUCACAUUUUGUUUUAAACCGCUUCUUUUAGACGAACCGCACUUGUCCCGCAAUAUACGUUUUUCUAACACAAACCGCACACAAACCGCACCGCACUAGCUAAUCCGCUUGUCCCGCCCCGCUCAACCCGCUGUUACCAUUCGGAGCCUA